AGUGAACGCUGGCGGUAGGCCUAACACAUGCAAGUCGAACGGCAGCACAGUAAGAGCUUGCUCUUACGGGUGGCGAGUGGCGGACGGGUGAGGAAUACAUCGGAAUCUACUUUUUCGUGGGGGAUAACGUAGGGAAACUUACGCUAAUACCGCAUACGACCUACGGGUGAAAGCAGGGGAUCUUCGGACCUUGCGCGAUUGAAUGAGCCGAUGUCGGAUUAGCUAGUUGGCGGGGUAAAGGCCCACCAAGGCGACGAUCCGUAGCUGGUCUGAGAGGAUGAUCAGCCACACUGGAGCUGAGACACGGUCCAGACUCCUACGGGAGGCAGCAGUGGGGAAUAUUGGACAAUGGGCGCAAGCCUGAUCCAGCGAUACCGCGUGGGUGAAGAAGGCCUUCGGGUUGUAAAGCCCUUUUGUUGGGAAAGAAAAGCAGCAGGUUAAUACCCCGCUGUUCUGACGGUACCCAAAGAAUAAGCACCGGCUAACUUCGUG
rnacentral:rRNA from 1 species